rnacentral:tRNA from 1 species
GCAGUCGUGGCCGAGUGGUAAAGGCGAUGGACUCGAAAUCCAUUGGGGUCUCCCCGCACAGGUUCGAAUCCUGUCGACUGCG